AAAUGUGAGUUAUAUUCUUACAGAUAGUACUUGCAAAUUAAUGAUUUUAUUUUUAUCGUAUUAGAAUCUUU
rnacentral:tRNA from 1 species